rnacentral:rRNA from 1 species
CAAGUCGAGCGGUAGAGAGAAGCUUGCUUCUCUUGAGAGCGGCGGACGGGUGAGUAAUGCCUAGGAAUCUGCCUGGUAGUGGGGGAUAACGUUCGGAAACGGACGCUAAUACCGCAUACGUCCUACGGGAGAAAGCAGGGGACCUUCGGGCCUUGCGCUAUCAGAUGAGCCUAGGUCGGAUUAGCUAGUUGGUGGGGUAAUGGCUCACCAAGGCGACGAUCCGUAACUGGUCUGAGAGGAUGAUCAGUCACACUGGAACUGAGACACGGUCCAGACUCCUACGGGAGGCAGCAGUGGGGAAUAUUGGACAAUGGGCGAAAGCCUGAUCCAGCCAUGCCGCGUGUGUGAAGAAGGUCUUCGGAUUGUAAAGCACUUUAAGUUGGGAGGAAGGGCAGUUACCUAAUACGUAAUUGUUUUGACGUUACCGACAGAAUAAGCACCGGCUAACUCUGUGCCAGCAGCCGCGGUAAUACAGAGGGUGCAAGCGUUAAUCGGAAUUACUGGGCGUAAAGCGCGCGUAGGUGGUUUGUUAAGUUGGAUGUGAAAUCCCCGGGCUCAACCUGGGAACUGCAUUCAAAA